rnacentral:lncRNA from 11 species
GAAAUACUGAGGGAAGGAUGGUCAGGAAGUGAAGAGGCUAAGAAGACAAGGAACAGGAAAGACUUGCUUGCAAGGGUUGUGCAAAUUUAUUUUUCAACAUUCUUUUCAUGCAACAGCUCUAUAAAUAGAGAGAACUGCAUCUCACCAGCACUUGGAGAGAUCUUAGGGAAAGCUUGAGUCAUGAGGUUUCUUUAUUUUUUCCUUGCUGUGGCUGUACUUCUCCUCCAUGUAGCUCCAGGGAAAACUCAGACCUGCAGAGAACUGCGAGGCCACUGCCGGGUUCCGUUAAGUACGAUAUGCCCAUAUGGAUCUCUUCCAGCCAACUGUGGCUUUAAUGGCAUAUGCUGCAAAUGGAAACCACCAACAACAGAAGCCUGUAGUAAACAGGGAGGUUACUGCCACGUUCCAGUGCGUGAAAGAUGUCCCUCUGGCAGAGAUCUACCGGCCAACUGUGGCAUUAAUGGAAGAUGCUGCAAAGCGAUUUUGUAAUCUAAGAUGCGGAUCAUUCCUUUUUGAAAAGAAGUAGAGCUGAAAUGAAUCAAACAAUGAAGAUAUCAGAAGUGUUCAAUGAUCAGAUGAUUAAAUAAAGAUUAAAUGUCAUUGUUGCAAAUUGUAUUUUUUGUAAAUUGCCAGUCAUAACUUGGUCCUGUUGACAGUGAUUCCUCUUUGAGAUGGGGCCCUAUUUGGAUAACGCUAUCACUCAAUUGCACCCAUGUCUCUUCAUAGUCCCAUUUGGACACAAUUUCGAUAGCUAAAUCAGACAGGCAAAUACAGUAGAGUCUCACUUAUCCAAGCCUCGCUUAUCCAAGCUUCUGGAUUAUCCAAGCCAUUUUUAUAGUCAAUAUUUUCAAUAUAUCAUGAUACUUUGGUGCUAAAUUCGUAAAUACAGUAAUUACAACAUAACAUUACUGCGUAUUGAGCUACUUUUUCUGUCAAAUUUGUUGUAUAACAUGAUAUUUUGGUGCUUAAUUUGUAAAAUCAUAACCUAAUUUGAUGUUUAAUACGAUUUUCCUUAAUCCCUCCUUAUUAUCCAAGAUAUUCGCUUAUCCAAGCUUCUGCUUGGAUAAGUGAGACUCUACUGUACUAGUUAAGUAUCUCUUGUUUAAGAGGGCACGAUCCCACUCUCCCUUCAAAUAUUUAAUGAACACAUUGGGACACUUGUUUUUUUGGUUUUUUUUAAAGAAUUUUAUUAAAUUUUUUAUACUACAUCGAAAGAGUGAGAACAACCAAGGUAUAGAAAAGUAGGAAAAAGAGAGAAAGAUACAAAUCUACAAAAAUAUACCCACACACAAAAAAACAAAAAACAAGAAAAAAUGUGACUUCCAUUCCAUCUUCUUGGAUAAUAUUUUCUUAUUAUUCAAUAAUAUUUUUCUUACUAAAGAAAAAAAAUAGUAAAAUUGUCUCUCGUAAUCUUCAUUUUCUCAAAUUAUCCAGAUAGACCUGAAGAUCGUCCCAAUUCGUUCUUUUCAUUAUCUUGCCUGUAUUUUUCUUCAACAAAAAAGUCAGUUCGUCCAUAUCCUUUAUUUCUCUUAUCUUCUCCACCCACUCCUCAAUUGGUGGGGCUGAUUCCUG